rnacentral:lncRNA from 1 species
UUUUGGAAAAGGAUUGGGUCACAACCUAUGUGGCUAAACCCACCCCACUUAAUGUGAUUAAGUGGGGUGUGAUAAUAGAGGGGAGAAGAGGGAGGGGCGUACGCCCCUCCCUUGCUUGCGUGAGAAGAAAAGGAGGGGGCUACGCCCCUCCUUGCUUGCCACCUAAGGGAUAAGAGUGAGUUCCUAAAAAAUAGGAACUCAUCUUUAUCCCUUAACAUAUCAAAAGGAGCAUGUGAUUUCGGCCAGCAUUCAUGCAUUUUUCUCCUCUAUUCAGACGUGAACACCCUCCUCCAUCUUCCUCCUUUGAGCCGCAAUCAAGAGAAGAAAAAGAAGAGCCUUGAUCGCCCUCUUCCUUCUUCAUUUCGGUUCCAAAAGGAAGAAAAAGAAAAAGGCUGCAGGGCUUUGUUCUUGUUCCUUUGAUCCAUCCUUCUUCUUCCUCCUCCCUUAGGCAUUCAAGAGUUGAUUGAAAGGGAGGAUAUCAGCCAUCCAUAGCCUUCUCUGCAUGGGAGCUAGCACCCCAGGGAGAUCCAAAGGUUUCGAUCGACUCAUUACUUCGUGUGGAUACCUGUAGAGGCCGGACGCGUGUGCAGCUUCCACUGAAUCCUCAUCAAAUACCACGUAAAUCAAAUUUGCGGAGACCAUCUACCCGCACAAGGUGAAGAUCUGAUCUUCUUAAUGAUUUUAAAAUGGUUUAAAAUAAUUUAAUUCUAAUCUAUCUACAAACGAAAGGUUUUAAAACACGUUCAUGCGAUGAACGGGUCCCGCAUAUGUUUUUCCGCUGCAAUCUGAAAAUUAUUUCAAAAUUUUCAUGGCAUAUGAAGGAUGCUAACAGUGGUAUCAGAGCCAGGGCUAUGUAGAUUAAGAUUAGAAUUAAAUUUUUCAAGGCAUUUUAGAUCUGAAAUUUAAGGGAUUAUGCUUGCUGAAAUUUAUGUAUGCAGAAUUUUCUGCUUGCUGAUUUUUCUGCAUAAUAAUUUUUAGAUGCUUAGAUUAAUGAUUCUAAUGCUUUGAUAAUGUGAUUACAAAUGUUUAGAGUCAAAUCUAGCAUGAUCAGCAAGUCAUGAGAUGGAAUAAUCAAUUAAAUUAUAGAUCUGAAAAUAAUUUUUAUGCAUGUGAUGCGUAUGGUGAUGAUC